GAUGCUAGGCUUCACAUUUUUGUUUUUAUCUGUGGCCAUCGAUGAUGAUGUCGUUUGGAGCAACAAUCUUCCUUAUGAUUCACACCAAGGAAAGCUGGACUAAAAUCACUCUAUAUGCACUUUCCUUUAUUCCAGUAGGCAUCUUUGCCCUGUCUUAUUUCCCCCUUUAUUCAUCACUGACAAAAACUUACAAGUACUUGCUUAGAAAGGCAAGGCAGGUAGCUCCCUUGAGCACAUGCAUGCUACCAGCAGAUCGCAACAAACCCACGGCAAAAUCACAUACUUCCAUUUUAUUUGUCUGAUAUUUCCUUGUGUGGAGUACUACAACAAAUUACACACUCAAUCGAAUAAAGGGGUAGAUCAAAUAGUCCAAAGAGAGUGGGUGCACAUUUGAAUUUGGACAAAAAGACCUACUAUUUCUUGGUAAACCAAAAAUAAAAUGCUUAUGUUAUGUAUUGUUAUAGGAAAUCAUUUUUCUUCAAGUGUUAGUGAGGAUGUUCAAUGAAUUGAUGUAAUGUGUUACAACUUUAGUUGCUACACUUGAGGAUUAAGUUGUUCAAAUUUCCACUAUGGAUGGUGUUUUCUAUAAUUCAC
rnacentral:misc_RNA from 1 species